AGCCACCCUUGAAAGAGUGCGUAAUAGCUCACUGGUCAAGUGAUUCCGCGCCGACAAUGUAGCGGGGCUCAAGCACACCGCCGAAGCCGUGGCAUUCAUACAACAACCCGCCGCCGGCCUUGAGCUGGCGGCCAGGUGUGUGGAUGGGUAGGGGAGCGUCGUGUGCGCGAUGAAGCGGCGGAGUGAUCCAGCCGUGGACGCCACACGAGUGAGAAUGCAGGCAUGAGUAGCGAAAGACGGGUGAGAAACCCGUCCGCCGAAUGAUCAAGGGUUCCAGGGUCAAGCUAAUCUGCCCUGGGUAAGUCGGGACCUAAGGCGAGGCCGACAGGCGUAGUCGAUGGACAACGGGUUGAUAUUCCCGUACCGGCGAAGA
rnacentral:rRNA from 1 species